GAACUUAAGCAUAUCAAUAAGCGGAGGAAAAGAAACCAACAGGGAUUGCCUCAGUAACGGCGAGUGAAGCGGCAACAGCUCAAAUUUGAAAUCUGGCCGCAAGGUCCGAGUUGUAAUUUGUAGAGGAUGCUUUUGGCGAGGUGCCUUCCGAGUUCCCUGGAACGGGACGCCAUAGAGGGUGAGAGCCCCGUACGGUAGGACCACCAAGCCUCUGUAAAGCUCCUUCGACGAGUCGAGUAGUUUGGGAAUGCUGCUCUAAAUGGGAGGUGUACGUCUUCUAAAGCUAAAUACCGGCCAGAGACCGAUAGCGCACAAGUAGAGUGAUCGAAAGAUGAAAAGCACUUUGAAAAGAGGGUUAAAAAGUACGUGAAAUUGUUGAAAGGGAAGCAUUCAUGACUAGACUUGGGCUUGGUUGAACAUCCGGCGUUCUCGCCGGUGCACUCUGCCAGUCCAGGCCAGCAUCAGUUUGCCCCGGGGGAUAAAGGCGGCGGGAAUGUGGCUCCCUUCGGGGAGUGUUAUAGCCCGUCGUGUAAUGCCCUGGGGCGGACUGAGGAACGCGCUUCGGCACGGAUGCUGGCGUAAUGGUCAUCAAUGACCCGUCUUGAAACACGGACCAAGGAGUCGUCUUCGUAUGCGAGUGUUCGGGUGUCAAACCCCUACGCGUAAUGAAAGUGAACGUAGGUGAGAGCUUCGGCGCAUCACCGACCGAUCCUGAUGUUCUCGGAUGGAUUUGAGUAAGAGCAUACGGGGCCGGACCCGAAA
rnacentral:rRNA from 1 species